GGAAGGCAUUUAGUGCUUUGGGUAGAUCCUCUCUGAAAGAUUUGUGGAGAAAUAAGGGAUAUAAGAUUUAGAGGUAGAAGGGACCUUAUCUAGCCUCAUCUCAUCACUUUGCAGAUAAAGAAACCGAGACCCAGGAGAUGAAACGGGUUACAGGUUACCCUAUGCAGGAAGACCAUGGAAGUCACAAAAACUAGAAGCAACUCAGGACUCAAUUGGCCCAACUCCUCAGGUUGGUUUGCCGUAUUUGGAUAUACAUAAAGAAAGUGAGGCCAGAGGAGGUUAACGACUUUCCUGAGGACAUACAAGAUAGUAAUCUCCAUGUUGGCCCAUCCUGUGCUACUCCUAUCCAUGCUCUACCAUAUGUGUGCUAUAGGGGGUCAGGGGUGCUGGG